CCGUUUAGCUAAUGGGAGAGGAUAGGAGGCCAGUUGGAGCUUAUAUAGAAUUCUUAGGCAGAUACAUGUACAGUUCGCGGGUAUCGCUAAUGUUGCUCUUCUGCUGCAGUUUUCUCUCCCCUGCACCCUCCCUCCCCUCUCCCUCUCCCUCUCCCUCUCCCUCUCCCUCAAGGAAGGAGAACAAGUCACCUGGAGUUAAGGGCCUCCCAGGUUCAGGUGAAGCAUAAUCUCGGAGAUCAUUAAGACAGGAGAUGGAGAUCAUUUAUAGGCCUUAUGUUGAUCCGGAUAUCGUAUCUCUAAUUGAAAGAAUGCAUCCUCCAAGGGUUUCCAUAGACAAUGAUACCUGCCCAGAUUGCACCCUUGUGAAGGUUAGUAACUAAGAACAAGAAUUUUUAGAAAGUAGGAAUCUUUAUUAGUUGUUUGGCGACCUUUGUUAGACCAAAGUUAUUGCUUAGUCAGGUCUUUCUUUAAGGGAUGAUACCAAUGGUUUCCUUGACUAAAUUAUUCAGCUAGAAUUUCUAAGUUGAAACGGUGGGGACGGGCU